GGUUCGAUUAUGGCUCAGAUUGAACGCUGGCGGGAUGCUUUACACAUGCAAGUCGAACGGCAGCACGGACUUCGGUCUGGUGGCGAGUGGCGAACGGGUGAGAAUGUAUCGGAACGUGCUUGUAGCGAUAACUACGCGAAAGUAGCCAAUACCGCAUACGCCCUUCGGGGGAAAGCGGGGACCUUCGGGCCUCGCACUACAGAGCGGCCGAUAUCGGAUUAGCUAGUUGCAAACGGCUCACCAAGGAUGAUCCGUAGCUGGUUUGAGAGGACGACCAGCCACACUGGGACUGAGACACGGCCCAGACUCCUACGGGAGGCAGCAGUGGGGAAUUUUGGACAAUGGGAACUCCUGAUCCAGCCAUCCGCGUGUGCGAUGAAGGCCUUCGGGUUGUAAAGCACUUUUGGCAGGAAAGAAACGGCACGGGAUAAUACCCCGUGCAACUGACGGUACCUGCAGAAUAAGCACCGGCUAACUACGUGCCAGCAGCCGCGGUAAUACGUAGGGUGCAAGCGCACCCAGCCCAUUGGGCGUAAAGCGUGCGCAGGCGGUUCUCGAAAAAGAAAGAUGAAAUCCAGAGCUUAACUUUGGAACUGCAUUUUUAACUACCGAGCUAGAGGUAGCGUCAGAGGGAGGUGGAAUUCGUGUGUAGCAGUGAAAUGCAGAUAUGAGGAACACUGAUGGCGAAGGUAGCUCUCCGGAUAACAUCGAUGUCAUGCACGAAAGCGUGGGGAGCAAACAGGAUUAGAUACCUCUGGUAGUCCACGCCCUAAACGAUGUCAACUAGCUGUUGGGGCCUUCGGGCCUUGUAGCGCAGCUAACGCGUGAAGUUGACCGCCUGGGGAGGUACGGUCGCAAGAUUAAAACUCAAAGGAAUUGACGGGGACCGCACAAGCGGUGGAUGAUGUGGAUUAAUUCGAUGCAACGCGAAAAACCUUACCUACCCUUGACAUGUUCAAAUCCCGAAGAGAUUUGGGAGUGCUCGCAAGAGAACCGGAACACAGGUGCUGGCAUGGCCGCCGUCGUACCGUGAGAUGUUGUUGCAAGUCCCCGCAACGAGCGCAACCUCAGCAGCUGUUAGAAGGUACUUAGGCGCACUCUGACGAGACUGCCGGUGACAAACCGGAGGAAGGUGGGGAUGACGUCAAGUCCCCGCGGCCCUAUGGGUAGCCUACACGUCAUACAAUGGUCGGGACAGAGGGUCGCCAACCCGCGAGGGGGAGCCAAUCCAGAAACCCGAUCGUAGUCCGGAUCGCAGUCUGCAACUCGACUGCGUGAAGUCGGAAUCGCUAGUAAUCGCGGAUCAGCAUGUCGCGGUGAAUACGUUCCCGGUCUUGUACACACCGCCCGUCACACCAUGGGAGUGGGUUUUACCAGAAGUAGUUAGCCUAACCGUAAGGAGGGCGAUUACCACGGCAGGAUUCAUGAUCAAAGUAAAGCCGUAACAAGGUAA
rnacentral:rRNA from 1 species